UUUGCUUUAUAGCCCAGGAGGAUGAGAACCUCCGGGGGUAAGAGGUUCGACUCGAGCGUAGCGAGAGAACGUUGCGUCAGCAACGGCCCGCGGGGCGAGCCACGUAGU
rnacentral:sRNA from 1 species